AAUACUUAGGAAUCUGCCUAUUAGUGGGGGACAACAUUUCGAAAGGAAUACUAAUACCGCAUACGCCCUACGGGGGAAAGCAGGGGCUCUUCGGACCUUGCGCUAAUAGAUGAGCCUAAGUCAGAUUAGCUAGUUGGUGGGGUAAAGGCCUACCAAGGCGACGAUCUGUAACGGGUCUGAGAGGAUGAUCCGUCACACUGGGACUGAGACACGGCCCAGACUCCUACGGGAGGCAGCAGUGGGGAAUAUUGGACAAUGGGGGCAACCCUGAUCCAGCCAUGCCGCGUGUGUGAAGAAGGCCUUUUGGUUGUAAAGCACUUUAAGCGAGGAGGAGGCUCCUGUAGAUAAUACCUACAGUGAGUGGACGUUACUCGCAGAAUAAGCACCGGCUAACUCUGUGCCAGCAGCCGCGGUAAUACAGAGGGUGCGAGCGUUAAUCGGAUUUACUGGGCGUAAAGCGUGCGUAGGUGGCCAAUUAAGUCAAAUGUGAAAUCCCUGAGCUUAACUUAGGAAUUGCAUUCGAUACUGGUUGGCUAGAGUAUGGGAGAGGAUGGUAGAAUUCCAGGUGUAGCGGUGAAAUGCGUAGAGAUCUGGAGG
rnacentral:rRNA from 1 species